AGUGAACGCUGGCGGUAGGCCUAACACAUGCAAGUCGAACGGCAGCACAGUAAGAGCUUGCUCUUACGGGUGGCGAGUGGCGGACGGGUGAGGAAUACAUCGGAAUCUACUUUUUCGUGGGGGAUAACGUAGGGAAACUUACGCUAAUACCGCAUACGACCUACGGGUGAAAGCAGGGGAUCUUCGGACCUUGCGCGAUUGAAUGAGCCGAUGUCGGAUUAGCUAGUUGGCGGGGUAAAGGCCCACCAAGGCGACGAUCCGUAGCUGGUCUGAGAGGAUGAUCAGCCACACUGGAACUGAGACACGGUCCAGACUCCUACGGGAGGCAGCAGUGGGGAAUAUUGGACAAAGGGCGCAAGCCUGAUCCAGCCAUACCGCGUGGGUGAAGAAGGCCUUCGGGUUGUAAAGCCCUUUUGUUGGGAAAGAAAAGCAGCAGGUUAAUACCCCGCUGUUCUGACGGUACCCAAAGAAUAAGCACCGGCUAUCUUCGUG
rnacentral:rRNA from 1 species